UCGGAACAUGUCCUGGAGUGGGGGAUAGCUCGGCGAAAGCCGGAUUAAUACCGCAUACGCUCUGAGGAGGAAAGCGGGGGACUUGGUAACGGGCCUCGCGCUGCAGGAGUGGCCGAUGUCGGAUUAGCUAGUUGGUGAGGUAAAGGCUCACCAAGGCGACGAUCCGUAGCUGGUCUGAGAGGAUGAUCAGCCACACUGGGACUGAGACACGGCCCAG
rnacentral:rRNA from 1 species